rnacentral:rRNA from 1 species
UACGAAUGGAGCGAGCGUUGUUCGGAAUCACUGGGCGUAAAGGGUGCGCAGGCGGUCUUGAAAGUUAGAAGUGAAAGCCCCGGGCUUAACCCGGGAAUUGCUUUUAAAACUCCAAGACUUGAGUACUGGAGAGGUUGGCGGAAUUCCGAGUGUAGAGGUGAAAUUCGCAGAUAUUCGGAGGAACACCAAUGGCGUAGGCAGCCAACUGGACAGUAACUGACGCUCAUGCACGAAAGCGUGGGGAUCAAACAGG